AUGAACGCUGCGGCGUGUUUAACACAUGCAAGUCGAACGGUAAGCCCAGCUUGCUGGGUGGAUCAGUGGCGAACGGGUAGUAACACGUGAGCAACCUGCCCCUGACUCUGGGAUAAGCGCUGGAAACGGCGUCUAAUACUGGAUACGAGACGUGACCGCAUGGUCAAUGUUUGGAAAGAUUUUUCGGUUGGGGAUGGGCUCGCGGCCUAUCAGCUUGUUGGUGAGGUAAUGGCUCACCAAGGCGUCGACGGGUAGCCGGCCUGAGAGGGUGACCGGCCACACUGGGACUGAGACACGGCCCAGACUCCUACGGGAGGCAGCAGUGGGGAAUAUUGCACAAUGGGCGCAAGCCUGAUGCAGCAACGCCGCGUGAGGGAUGACGGCCUUCGGGUUGUAAACCUCUUUUAGCAGGGAAGAAGCCUUCGGGUGACGGACUUGCAGAAAAAGCGCCGGC
rnacentral:rRNA from 1 species